rnacentral:rRNA from 1 species
AGUGAACGCUGGUGGUAGGCCUAACACAUGCAAGUCGAACGGCAGCACAGUAAGAGCUUGCUCUUACGGGUGGCGAGUGGCGGACGGGUGAGGAAUACAUCGGAAUCUACUUUUUCGUGGGGGAUAACGUAGGGAAACUUACGCUAAUACCGCAUACGACCUACGGGUGAAAGCAGGGGAUCUUCGGACCUUGCGCGAUUGAAUGAGCCGAUGUCGGAUUAGCUAGUUGGCGGGGUAAAGGCCCACCAAGGCGACGAUCCGUAGCUGGUCUGAGAGGAUGAUCAGCCACACUGGAACUGAGACACGGUCCAGACUCCUACGGGAGGCAGCAGUGGGGAAUAUUGGACAAUGGGCGCAAGCCUGAUCCAGCCAUGCCGCGUGGGUGAAGAAGGCCUUCGGGUUGUAAAGCCCUUUUGUUGGGAAAGAAAAGCAGCAGGUUAAUACCCCGCUGUUCUGACGGUACCCAAAGAAUAAGCACCGGCUAACUUCGUG